rnacentral:lncRNA from 1 species
AUGCAGUCUAAUGAAUAUACCAUGCAGCAGUUACACAGAGUCAAGUCACUUCUAUUAAGUACUGACUUGGAAAAAUACAUUGAUUUUAAAGUGUUGUACAACAGUAGGUAGUGUCAUGCCAUUUAUGUUUUUAAAAGUCAUUUUUUAGUCACAUGAGCACACAGGAAGGCCAUUUUGCAAGCUGGAUGGCAUAAAAAUGUCACUCCUCUCUGUUCUCCUCCCAGCUAACCAGGACAACUAUUCCUACUUCCUCUUCACUCCCGGCCCGAUCUGCCCCCAAACAGAAGGAAGCGUACCUAUCUGGCACACUAUCUCAGAGAACAAUAGAGUUACAACAGAAGAGUGUUCAGAGGACAGUAACACAUUGCUGACUAUAAAUCACAGGAACAAGAGAAUGCCUGUUCAUCUACCUGGAUGCGUGCUCUACAAACCACAGGAAAUUCAACGGUAAUGCUGGGGAAUAAACACUGUUCCGGCUGCUUAUUUUACCGAACAGGACACGGACCCGGGCGCCACCCUUCUAAAACUAGAUGCGUAUUCCUUAUACGGAGGUUCCAUCAAAUACCACGUUGAGCAACAGUUUGCUCUUCGUGGCAAACCCCAUCUUAGAGGAAUCAACUAUUUUCUUUCAUUUACCCAGCUAUGUAAACAAAACCUGCAAGUGCGGUAAUAAAAGAAAAAAACACCUCAAAUCUAGAAAUAUGUAAUGUAAAUAACUCCUCUUAAGUUUCUGCCAGGAUUCGUUUGCUGUAAAAUCCUGGAAGCAACGGGCCUAGAACUUGAGCAAUCAAUGGGACCGGGCUGACAUCGGCUGUUGUCU